rnacentral:SRP_RNA from 14 species
GGUGCAGCGCUGCCUCACUUCUUGCCUGCCCGGCGGCUCCGGGUCGGAGCCUCCGCUCUGCGCGCACGGCGGCGGCUCGGCGGGCGCGGCCUCUCGCGCCGCGGGAGGCACCUCGUGAGGCUGCCUGA